rnacentral:rRNA from 1 species
GACGAACGCUGGCGGCGUGCUUAACACAUGCAAGUCGAACGGAAAGGCCCUGCUUUUUUGGGGUGCUGGAAUGGCGAACGGGUGGGUAACAAGUGAGUAUCCUGCCCUUGACUUUGGGAUAGCUUCAGGAAACUGGGGCUAAUACCGGAUAGGAGCUCCUGUUGCAUGGUGGGGGUUGGAAAGUCUCGGCGGUUGGCGAUGGACUGGCGGCUGAUCAGCUUGUUGGUGGGGUAGUGGCUUACCAAAGCUUUGACGGGUAGUCGGCCUGAGGGGGUGACCGGGCACAUGGGGACUGAGAUACGGCCCAGACUCCUACGGGGGGCAGAAGGGGGGAAUAUUGCACGAUGGGCGGAAGCCUGAUGCAGCAACGCCGCGUGCGGGAUGACGGCCUUCGGGUUGUAAACCGCUUUAGCCUGUGACGAAGCGUGAGUGACGGUAAUGAGUAAAGAAGCACCGGCUAACUACGUG